CCUACGGGCGGCAGCAGUGAGGAAUAUUGGUCAAUGGACGAGAGUCUGAACCAGCCAAGUAGCGUGAAGGAUGACUGCCCUAUGGGUUGUAAACUUCUUUUAUAUGGGAAUAAAACGUUCCACGUGUGGGAUUUUGUAUGUACCCUAUGAAUAAGGAUCGGCUAACUCCGUGCCAGCAGCCGCGGUAAUACGGAGGAUCCGAGCGUUAUCCGGAUUUAUUGGGGUUAAAGGGAGCGUAGGUGGAUUGUUAAGUCAGUUGUGAAAGUUUGCGGCUCAACCGUAAAAUUGCAGUUGAAACUGGCAGUCUUGAGUACAGGAGAGGUGGGCGGAAUGCGUGGUGUAGCGGUGAAAUGCUUAGAUAUCACGAAGAACUCCGAUUGCGAAGGCAGUUCACUGGACUGCAACUGACACUGAGGCUCGAAAGUGUGGGUAUCAAACAGGAUUAGAUACCCUUGUAGUC
rnacentral:rRNA from 1 species